rnacentral:miRNA from 1 species
UGAGGCAGGAGAAUCGCUUGAACCCAGGAGGUGGAGGUUGCAGUGAACUGAGAUUGUGCCAUUGCACUCCAGCCUGGGUGACAGAGCGAGACUCCAUCUCA